rnacentral:rRNA from 1 species
CGUAGGGUGCGAGCGUUGUCCGGAAUUAUUGGGCGUAAAGAGCUUGUAGGCGGUUUGUCGCGUCUGCUGUGAAAUCUCGGGGCUUAACCCCGAGCCUGCAGUGGGUACGGGCAGACUAGAGUAUGGUAGGGGAGACUGGAAUUCCUGGUGUAGCGGUGGAAUGCGCAGAUAUCAGGAGGAACACCGAUGGCGAAGGCAGGUCUCUGGGCCAUAACUGACGCUGAGAAGCGAAAGCAUGGGUAGCGAACAGGAUU